rnacentral:pre_miRNA from 1 species
UGUGUACUCCCUCCGUUCCAAAAUACUUGACUUCCAUUUGUCCAAAAAUGGAUGUACCUAUAUACUAAAACAUGUCUAGAUACAUAUAUAUUUUGACAAAUAGAAGGCAUGUAUUGUGCAACGGAGGUAGUAGAAU